GGGUUGUGAGGUUAAGCGACUAAGCGUACACGGUGGAUGCCCUGGCAGUCAGAGGCGAUGAAGGACGUGCUAAUCUGCGAUAAGCGUCGGUAAGGUGAUAUGAACCGUUAUAACCGGCGAUUUCCGAAUGGGGAAACCCAGUGUGUUUCGACACACUAUCAUUAACUGAAUCCAUAGGUUAAUGAGGCGAACCGGGGGAACUGAAACAUCUAAGUACCCCGAGGAAAAGAAAUCAACCGAGAUUCCCCCAGUAGCGGCGAGCGAACGGGGAGCAGCCCAGAGCCUGAAUCAGUGUGUGUGUUAGUGGAAGCGUCUGGAAAGGCGCGCGAUACAGGGUGACAGCCCCGUACACAAAAAUGCACAUACUGUGAGCUCGAUGAGUAGGGCGGGACACGUGGUAUCCUGUCUGAAUAUGGGGGGACCAUCCUCCAAGGCUAAAUACUCCUGACUGACCGAUAGUGAACCAGUACCGUGAGGGAAAGGCGAAAAGAACCCCGGCGAGGGGAGUGAAAAAGAACCUGAAACCGUGUACGUACAAGCAGUGGGAGCCUCUUUUAUGGGGUGACUGCGUACCUUUUGUAUAAUGGGUCAGCGACUUAUAUUCUGUAGCAAGGUUAACCGAAUAGGGGAGCCGAAGGGAAACCGAGUCUUAACCGGGCGUUAAGUUGCAGGGUAUAGACCCGAAACCCGGUGAUCUAGCCAUGGGCAGGUUGAAGGUUGGGUAACACUAACUGGAGGACCGAACCGACUAAUGUUGAAAAAUUAGCGGAUGACUUGUGGCUGGGGGUGAAAGGCCAAUCAAACCGGGAGAUAGCUGGUUCUCCCCGAAAGCUAUUUAGGUAGCGCCUCGUGAAUUCAUCUCCGGGGGUAGAGCACUGUUUCGGCAAGGGGGUCAUCCCGACUUACCAACCCGAUGCAAACUGCGAAUACCGGAGAAUGUUAUCACGGGAGACACACGGCGGGUGCUAACGUCCGUCGUGAAGAGGGAAACAACCCAGACCGCCAGCUAAGGUCCCAAAGUCAUGGUUAAGUGGGAAACGAUGUGGGAAGGCCCAGACAGCCAGGAUGUUGGCUUAGAAGCAGCCAUCAUUUAAAGAAAGCGUAAUAGCUCACUGGUCGAGUCGGCCUGCGCGGAAGAUGUAACGGGGCUAAACCAUGCACCGAAGCUGCGGCAGCGACACUGUGUGUUGUUGGGUAGGGGAGCGUUCUGUAAGCCUGUGAAGGUGUGCUGUGAGGCAUGCUGGAGGUAUCAGAAGUGCGAAUGCUGACAUAAGUAACGAUAAAGCGGGUGAAAAGCCCGCUCGCCGGAAGACCAAGGGUUCCUGUCCAACGUUAAUCGGGGCAGGGUGAGUCGACCCCUAAGGCGAGGCCGAAAGGCGUAGUCGAUGGGAAACAGGUUAAUAUUCCUGUACUUGGUGUUACUGCGAAGGGGGGACGGAGAAGGCUAUGUUGGCCGGGCGACGGUUGUCCCGGUUUAAGCGUGUAGGCUGGUUUUCCAGGCAAAUCCGGAAAAUCAAGGCUGAGGCGUGAUGACGAGGCACUACGGUGCUGAAGCAACAAAUGCCCUGCUUCCAGGAAAAGCCUCUAAGCAUCAGGUAACAUCAAAUCGUACCCCAAACCGACACAGGUGGUCAGGUAGAGAAUACCAAGGCG
rnacentral:rRNA from 1 species